UCUUUCUUCACCGAUCUCACAACAUUUCUGCAGCAGAAAAUCUUUUUCAGCAUUAUCAGCCAGACAAAAUGAGCGACCCCAAGCCAAAGAAUCCUGAAGAAGUCGGUGAACACAAUCCAGACAAUGAAUCUGGAAAGGGAAAGGGAAAAAACAAGGAUGGCCAUGGGCACGGACAAGGUAAAGGAGAAGGCAAAGGACAUGGUAAAGGAGAAGGCCAUGGACAUGGUAAAGGAGAAGGCCACGGACAUGGCAAAAAGUGAAAAAAACUCAUCGAUGUGAUGCAAAUGGAGAAACCACGCACAAGUCAAUAAUUUUGAAUGAAAUAUGUAAUCAAUGUCAAUUUCUUAUUCAAUAAAAUCAUCUAUAAAGCAAGA